rnacentral:tRNA from 1 species
AGUCUUAUAGUUUAAUUUAAAACAUUAAAUUGCAAAUUUAGUAAUGGGAAAUAUAACCUAAGACUU